rnacentral:rRNA from 1 species
UACGAGGGGUGCAAGCGUUAUUCGGAAUUAUUGGGCGUAAAGGGUGCGUAGGCUGCGUACUAAGUCAACUGUUAAAUUCCUCGGCCUAACCGAGGCCAUGCGGUAGAUACUGGUAUGCUAGAGGGUGGAAGAGAGAAGUGGAAUUCUCGGAGUAGCGGUAAAAUGCGUAGAUCUCGAGAGGAACACCAAUGGCGAAGGCAGCUUCUUGGUCCACACCUGACGCUGAGGCACGAAAGCGUGGGGAGCAAAC